AGUGCCCUCCUGGUGUGAGACCAACACUAGCAGAUGAGGAGCUGACAUACCUGCACAAGCUUGCACGUCCUUUGCCAACACAUUUUGCUCUAGGAUGAUUAAGUAUUUACUGCUUCCGGCAACCUUACCUUCUUAUGCAUACAUCACCUUAAUGUUCCACACAAAAUAAUGUAGAAGCACAAGAAAACCGGUUCUUCAGAUUCCUAGGUCCUUUGCAAUUUCUUUGCUAGAAAAAAUACGGCAGCUAGGAGACAUUGCCAUUAUGCAUACACCUCCAUCAAACUGAACCUGAGCAACGGGUUUUAGCGGCUAAUCUUCUGCUUCAAUUGGAUAUACUGGAACAACAGAUAAAAUCAAAAAUUGGGCCAAGAGCUGCUGUUGUUGUGAGCGCGCGACAGAAAAGGAACGACGCCAUAGUUGAACUAAGAGAAAAACAGGGCAAAAAAUUGGUGAACGACGCCAUAGUUAUAAAAUAAAGAAUGCAUUCACCUAACCCUUUAAAACAUUUUUAAAAAGAGGCUGCAUGAUAUGAACAAAGGAAUUUGGACACAUUCAUGAAGGUAUACUGGUAUGAUUAUUAAUUUUAUGUUAAAUUUUCUCCAGGUACUUGUACAGUCAAGCAAGACUGAAGUUCUAAUUGGAAUUCUACAAAAGGAGGCCUCUCAGCCUCGAGCAGAUUAGAAUUUGCAUGUUAAACUGACUGAUGGCCAUCAUGGCAUUGUUUUGUUCAUGUGUAUCUAGAGAGAGAUGAUUGUGGUAGUACUAUAGCUCACUUUAUGUGUGGUAGAGUCGCUACAUGUCGAGUGGAGUUUAUGCAGGGGAUCAUUUGCAGCUGAGCACCUCAUGUUAAAAGGAGAUGCUACAGCGGUGUGCCUCUUCCCUGGGCGCCACUCUCCCGCUGCUCCUCCGACCCAAAUGCCGAUAAAAUGGAGCUCGCCAAGGCACACUUCAUGGACAAGGAGGACCACCCACGACGAUGAACAUGUGUGACCUCACCCCCGAGCCUGAUGAGCUCGACAACGACAACAUCGUCAACCUUGAUCUCGAUGACAAGGUUGAUCCCUAGCUUAGUGCCGACACCAAAGAGCAAGCCCGCCUUCUCCAGAGUUUGCAAAGGAGCUUUAUGUUUAGGGCAUGGUUGUUUGCAGAGAGGGGCAGACACUACUUCGAUCCUUUGACAGAUAGUUCUUCAUAAUGUGAUAGUGUAUAGGCCUUCUUUCUGGGGACCUACUGCUCAACUACUCCACUCCUUGGCUUCUACCGACCAAAAAUUUUACAAAUCUGUCUACAUGUUUUGUUUCUAUAUAUUUACAAAUAUCCUAUUAAUUCA